AUUGAACGCUGGCGGCAGGCCUAACACAUGCAAGUCGAACGAGUGGCGGAAGGGGGAGUAAUGUCUGGGAAAAUGCCUGAUGGAGGGGGAUAAAUACUGGACACGAUAGCUAAUACCGCAUACCAUCAGAUGUGCCCAGAUGGGCUUAGAGAGUUGUUGGGGUAACGGCUCACCAAGGCGACGAUCCCUAGCUGGUCUGAGAGGAUGACCAGCCAAACGUGAACUGAGACACGGUCCAGACGCCUACGGGAGGCAGCAUUGGGGAAUAUUGCACAAUGUGCGCAAGCCGGAUGCAGCCAUGCCGCGUGUAUGAAUAAGGCCUUCUGGUUGUAAAGUACUUUCAGCGGGGAGGCGUUACCCGCAGAAGAAGCACCGGCUAACUCCGUGCCAGCAGCCGCGGUAAUUC
rnacentral:rRNA from 1 species